rnacentral:rRNA from 1 species
UAGUCAUAUGCUUGUUUCAAAGAUUAAACCAUGCAUGUCUAAGUAUAAGCAAUUAUACCGCGAAACUGCGAAUGGCUCCUUAUAUAAGUUAUCGUUUAUUUGAUAGUACCUUACUACUUGGAUAACCGUGGUAAUUCUAGAGCUAAUACAUGCUAAAAAUCCCGACUUUGGAAGGGAUGUAUUUAUUAGAUUAAAAACCAAUGCCCUUCGGGGCUCACUGGUGAUUCAUGAUAACUCCUCGAAUCGCAUGGCCUUGUGCCGGCGAUGGUUCAUUCAAAUUUUUUCCCUAUCAACUUUCGAUGUUUGGGUAUUGGCCCAACAUGGUUGCAACGGGUAACGGAGGGUUAGGGCUCGACCCCGGAGAAGGAGCCUGAGAAACGGCUACUACAUCCAAGGAAGGCAGCAGGCGCGCAAAUUACCCCAUCCCGACCCGGGGAGGUAGUGACAAUAAAUACUGAUACAGGGCUCUUUUGGGUCUUGUAAUUGGAAUGAGUACAAUUUAAAUCCCUUAACGAGGAACAAUU